rnacentral:misc_RNA from 1 species
UCCGACUUGACGUCGGCAGUCUCGUUAGAGUGCCCCACUUAAGGCUGGCAACUAACGACAGAGGUUGCGCUCGUUGCGGGACUUAACCCAACAUCUCACGACACGAGCUGACGACAGCCAUGCAGCACCUCGACUGCAGUCCCUUGCGGGAAGGCCAGUGUUUCCACCGACUGUCCACAGCCGUUCGAGCCCAGGUAAGGUUCUUCGCGUUGCGUCGAAUUGAACCACAUGCUCCACCGCUUGUGCG